rnacentral:lncRNA from 1 species
CGCAAGGCUCAAGAGGUGAGGGUGAGGAAAAAUCGUAUAAAAGGCGAGAGAAAAGAUUUCGGGAACUCAGUCGAGUGAGAAUCUCCGACACGGCAACAACUGCAGCUCAAUAUUUGUCACCAACUGCCUUCAUUGUUAUACCGGUUCGCAAUCACGGUUAACUAUGGCGCCGUGCUGCUGUUUGGUGUUGUAUGGUUAAUGGUUGGGUCGACCACGGGUGACCCGAUGUCUCCUGGACAUGGUGGAUACCAAGCAACAGCAGCGAAAGAAUAGUGCACCACGUCGCCGCCUUACUACACAACAACGUCUAGAUACGCAACAUCUACUUGCUGCGCCGAGGCUCCUAAGUACUACACCACCGAAUAUACUGUCCCAGCCUACUACACCGAAGUCCCCUAGUACUACACUACUACGAAUGCUGCCCCAGCCUAAUACACCGAGGCUCCAUCCUAUUUCAAUACCAAAGAGGUCGAGUAUUACACUGAACCGCACAAGUACUACUAUGCCAGUAACUACACAACCACAACUGAGACGGCUAAGUACUACGUAGCCCAGACUUACAACACAGCAGCUGUUUCUUCCUACUACGUUGAACUGUAAUACUACACCGAGGAUCCAGUCUACUACACCACAACCUAGGCUACACCCAGAUACUACGACGAAGCCCCCCAACAACUACCACACCGAAAAGUUUACUUCAUUAAGUAUAACUCUGCUCCAAGCUACACCAAACUGAGGCUCCUGUUUACUACGCCAAGGCCACCGAGUAUUACACUACAACCAAAUGUUAACUAUGGCGUCGUGCUGCUGUUGGCUGUUGUAUCCUUGAUGGUUAAAUCGACCACUGGUGUACCGAUGUCUCGGGGGAAUGUGGAUACCAAACCGCAACGCCGCCGUUUUAUAACACAACAGCAUACGCAACAACCGGUUACCUACUUCACCACCAAUUCCCUGGAGUAUAAUCCACAACUGAUGUCCCGAACUACUACACCGAGGUCCCAAAG